CAGUCGCCGCGGUAAUACGGAGGGUGCAAGCGUUAUCCGGAUUUACUGGGUUUAAAGGGUGCGUAGGCGGACUUGUAAGUCCGAGGUGAAAUCUCUAAGCUUAACUCGGAAACUGCCUUGGAUACUAUAGGUCUUAAAUCUCGUUGAGGUUUGCGGAAUAUGUCAUGUAGCGGUGAAAUGCUUAGAUAUGACAUAGAACACCUAUUGCGAAGGCAGCAGGCUAAACGAAUAUUGACGCUGAUGCACGAAAGCGUGGGGAUCAAACAGGAUUAGAUACCCCAGUAGUCCCUGUCUCUUAUAC
rnacentral:rRNA from 1 species